GGAGGGGGCUGGAGGAGGGGGCAGCAAGGACGCCAGCUGGAAACAGAGGUCGGCGUCGUCACUUACUGCUUCUGCGUCUCAGGUGGGCGAGUGCCCCAAAGGACCAGGAAAAGCUCCUGCUGCCUUCUCCCGCGAGGCUCCAGAUCGCUCCCUGCUACCUGCCCAGAAUUUGGCAUGAAAACAGCACGUAACUUUUAGGAACGAGGCCUUCUGGCUCUGGUCACACCCUCGUCACCCCUCUCUGGUGCCCCUGCCUAUCAGGUUGCCGUCAGCUCCACUCUGGACGCCGUGGGGACACAGAAGCGCACAACACACGGGACCUCGGACUGGGGGGGCGUCCAGCGCACAUGGAAGCAACCAGACACGCGAUGGAGAGAGCUGGCGGCUGGGACUCCCCCCCCAUGAGACUGCACGCCCCACGGAUACGCCCGACCCUGCCCAUCCACCCCGCUAAAGACACAAGGCCCUGAAGACCCCAAGCCCCUGCUCUUAGCGGAUGAUUGAUUCACUUAUGCCCAGACCAACCCGAUGACAUCUCGUGGGACCGUGCAAGCCCGGAGCAUUGGCCCCGAGGAGCCUGGAGCUGGAUCUGACCGGAGCCUGGGGUGAGCAAAUGAACCCCUGUCUACGGGCUGUCUGCGCUCUGGAGGUGAGGUGCCUCCCUAUGGCAGCAGGGCAGCAGCUAGUUUUGUGAAAUGUAUCCAAUGUUCCUGACACAUUUUAGUGUCUCUGAUAGCGGCCCAUGGAAGGGUGCACAGAGCUGGGGCAGGGAGCAGCUGGGAAGGGGAGUUCUCUUUCCUGGGUGCAAACGCAGGAGCUGGGGAUUGGCGCCCCUGUGGGGGGUGGGGUGGCAGCUAACCCCCUUUCUAGCCUCUUCUAGGCUCCAGGAGUUUUGUGAUCCCUGAACCCAAAGCGUUACUGCGGAGCACUCCGACCGUCCUGAUACAAAUGUAAACUUCUCUGCACGGCCCCACACAUGCAGGCCUCCUGAGUGCGUACCUGUGGGUUCGUGGACUGACCCGUACACGGGGGCAAGGACACACCUAAGACAGUGUGUCCUCCUGUGGGUCGGUGGCAGUUUUAAUCAUCAAGGGGACUUGCCCACGAGGCUUGUCUUGGGACACGCGACAAGCAGACCUCUGCAUCGCCUGCCAGCAUCUUCAGUUCACAGAGAGGCCUUACCGGGGUUCAGUCUCGUCGGCCACCCGCGGGGUCCCGAUAGUACACUGCUCUCUCGAGGCUGGGUCCCCACAAACAGCUCUGCGGUGGGAGCAGAGGGUGAAACCUCCACUUUAAGGACCGGGAGGAGGCCAGGCGCCUCGACUGCCAGGGUCCAGCUCCUAGGUGACAUCCUCACAAUGACCGUCAUUGUGUGUGUGGCCCAAGUCGCAAUGUGGGGACACGGUAGGGAAUAAAAGGGCCCCAGGGACUGGCCGUCAGCAGAGGAGAUGGCCCACAGACCAGCAGCAGGUGCGUGGGCAGCGCCAGCUGGUGAAGAGACAGGGAGGGUGUUCCUGAGGAGGGGACGUCAGGGCAGAGAGAGAGCUGAAU